rnacentral:rRNA from 1 species
UACGUAGGGUGCGAGCGUUAAUCGGAAUUACUGGGCGUAAAGCGUGCGCAGGCGGUGAUGUAAGACAGAUGUGAAAUCCCCGGGCUCAACCUGGGACUGCAUUUGUGACUGCAUCGCUGAGAGUACGGCAGAGGGGGAUGGAAUUCCGCGUGUAGCAGUGAAAUGCGUAGAUAUGCGGAGGAACACCGAUGGCGAAGGCAAUCCCCCUGG